AAUUAUUUGGGUGGGUAGGGUUUGCGUUGGGGAAUUGAGUUGCUUUGAGGGAAAUAUGUUUGACUUUGGGGGGGUUAUUGGCAUCCUUUUUUGUUUUUUUGUUUUUUUGUUUUUUUUGUUUUUUGAACGCUUGGGGAGAAAGGUUGAUAACUUUAAACAAUAAAUAAAUAAUAAAAGAAGAACAGACACGUAUGCAAGCAGCCGAUAAGCCUUUAUUUGGAGCAUUACAUCGAACAGAUGAUUGGCAUGACUUCUCCAGCCAUCCACCACAUGCAGGGGGAACUCUCUCAGGAAGUUUUCGGCGAGAGGGAAUGUACAGCAGCUCCUUACGCCUUUAUGGCUCCGACACUAUGUUAUGCUUCUUUUUUCUUUUUUUUCUGUUUCUUUUAGUCAAGGAUAUUUUUGCUUCUUAGAGCUCCAGGAAAUGAGACUAGUACACAGAAAGGUUACAAAACCAUGGUGAAUCUUGUAUCAUUAGAGCAUCUCCAAGGGAAAAGGCAAAAUAGUAGGCAAACCUCAUUUGUCUUGUCAUAUCAGUAUUUUUAUGCUCCAAAAGAAAAGGCAAAUAGGUAGGCAAAAUAUACCUACUCUCCGCAACAAGACAAUACUGUCUACUUCAAAGUGAAAAUGUAUAUUGGGCCGUACUUGCUUUUUAUUAUUAAAAUAUCAUCCACACUAUUUCACAUACUUUCUAUAAAAAUAUA
rnacentral:lncRNA from 1 species